AUGAAAUUAGAGCUUGAAUUUACAGUCGAAGAGAAAUAAUCAGAAAUCUGCUUGUGUGUGCAUUCAGAUAUCCACAUGAGUGCAUAUGAGAACUGGUUCCUAUUAUAAACCCCAUAAUCCUAUCCUAGACUUUUUUGGACCAUUUUCCCCUUUUCUCCUGGGAGGAUCAUUCAAACGGCUUCAGAUUCAAAUGGACAAAUAGCAGCUCUCCGUUUUUCCACCACAAAGGAGACUCCAUCUACUUCUGACAUCACAAGAAGUCCCCAGCCAACGGCAGUUCCGAUCCUAGCUUGAACAUUCCUGAGUCAAUUAGGAACUUAUCUUCUGAAUGGCUGCCAAAGGGGAUUAAAUGCUUUGCGCUGUAUCAUAUGUCAGUACUGUUGGUGAUUAUAGUGUUCUGACAUCCAUCUGACCAGAUGAAUAAAACUUCUAGUACUGCCCUCAAACCCAGAUACAUUUUUCCGGGCUGUGAAAGUAGCAC
rnacentral:lncRNA from 11 species